rnacentral:lncRNA from 13 species
AAAGACUGCGUCAGUAGCCUGUGGCAGAGUCGCAUGUCGCGGGAACGCAAUGGUCGCAUUCCGCGUGUUGUCACGCCGUAGAAACGAUUCAGUUGACUCGAAUCCCAGCGAGAAUCUGCGCAGAAGGGCUCCUCACGCUCACAUCGCAGGCGGCAUGUAGAUGGCGUUUUGGCACACCUUUCUGACGAACGUUAGCAAUGAUGGCGAGCGCACGACGCAACGGUAGAAGGGAAUUGGAAUAGAACGUCUUGCCUGCUACUUUUACGUUUCUGCGAUGAUAGUAGAAUUGAAUGAAAUUCCGAAUCCCGAAUCGUUGAGAUUUUUUCAAAUCUCAAAGAAAAGUCAGCAAGCGGACGUCAAAGAUUCCUGAAAUGCCUUCGGCAAGCUUUUAGACAAACUUCUGGACAAUGCUUCGAGAGGCAUUCAUACUUAAAGAACUUUGAAAGUAGACGAAUGUACGAAGUAACUCACAAAUUGUUUACGAGAACUGUCGUCGUACAAUUUAUGACAUUUGCAACAUCGCGUCGUUGGAAUUUCACACAGAGUCUACUGGGUGAUACUCGCUAACGAUUUGAACAUCAUUUGCAUAUCAUGUUACCACCAAAUUCAUCCCCUGGUUUCUGACACUCCACCCUAAAAAACGCAGUAAUAUGCCAGUCGUCUUGUACCCUCUGUAUUCGCCGGAUUUACCCCUUUGUGACACCUUUCUAUUCUCAAGAAUGAAAAUGAAGGGGACAACGUUUCGAGACGAUGCAGGAGAUCGAGGUCGAAUAGCAGGCGGAGCUUAACGCGCUACAGAAAAGACUUCCAGAGAGAGUUUGAAGCAUAACGGAAGCAUUAGGGUCGUGUAUCAAGUCACUGGGGGACUAUUCCGGAGGGGAUGAAAACCAACUGUAAAUAGGAUCGAACUCGAUCCUCCUCCGGUUGCCGGUUGCUGGCCGACAGGAUUGCCCACAAGAGGUUCACCGCCGCCACCGCCGCCGCCACCGCC